UACGGAGGGUGCAAGCGUUGCUCGGAAUUCUUGGGCGUAAAGGGUCGGUAGGUGGUCUCAUUUGUCUGGGGUGAAAGCCUUGAGCUUAACUCAAGAAGUGCCCCAGAAACGGUGAGACUAGAGUCUUGGAGAGGGUCGUGGAAUUCCCGGUGUAGCGGUGAAAUGCGUAGAGAUCGGGAGGAACACCAGAGGCGAAGGCGGCGACCUGGACAAGUACUGACACUCAACUACGAAAGCGUGGGGAGCAAACAGG
rnacentral:rRNA from 1 species